GGAUUGCCCUAGUAACGGCGAGUGAAGCGGCAACAGCUCAAAUUUGAAAUCUGGCUUCCUGUUUCUGGGGGGUCCGAGUUGUACUUUGCAGAGGGUGCUUUGGCGUUGGUGGCGGUCUAAGUUCCAUGGAACUGGCCAUCGCAGAGGGUGAGAGUCCCGUAUGUGGUCGCCCGCCUUCGCUGUGUAAAGCCCCUUCGACGAGUCGCGUUGUUUGGGAAUGCAGCGCUAAAUGGGAGGUAAAUUUCUUCUAAAGCUAAAUACCGGCCAGAGACCGAUAGCGCACAAGUAGAGUGAUCGAAAGAUGAAAAGCACUUUGGAAAGAGAGUCAAAUAGCACGUGAAAUUGUUGAAAGGGAAGCGCUUGCAGCCAGACGUGCCUGCAGAAGCUCAGCCGGAGGGGGCUCCCCCGGUGCACUCUUCUGCGGGCAGGCCAGCAUCAGUUUGGGCGGCUGGAGAAUGGCCUCUGUCACGUAUCUCCUAUGGGGAUGGCCUUAUAGGGGAGGCGGAGUGCAGCCAGCCUGGACUGAGGUCCGUUUGGCAGCUAGGAUGCUGGCAUAAUGGCUGCAAGCGGCCCGUCUUGAAACACGGACCAAGGAGUCUAACGUCUAUGCGAGUGUUUGGGUGGCAAGCCCGGGCGCGCAAUGAAAGUGAACGGAGGUGGGAGCCUCUUCCUUGGGAGGAGGUGCAGCAUCGACCGAUCCUGAUGUCUUCGGACGGAUUUGAGUACGAGCAUAGCUGUUGGGACCCGAAAGAUGGUGUUCAAUGCCUAAAUAGGGUGAAGCCAGAGGAAACUCUGGUGGAGGCUCGCAGCGGUUCUGACGUGCAAAUCGAUCGUCAAAUUUGGGCAUAGGGCGAAAGACUAAUCGAUCC
rnacentral:rRNA from 1 species